UUUGUCUCCUCCACACACACAUAUAUGUGGGCACAUACAUCUCUUCCUUUCCCUCUCUACCCCUCGUGUUUGUGUGUGUGUGUGUGUGUGUGAAAAGAUUCUGUAUACAACAAUAAUAUCACCCUAGCAUAUCUAGGAGUGAUCAGUGUGAAACUGAUUAGGGAACCAGGGGGUCUAAUGCAGCAGCCAGCAGGCUUCCAGACUUCCUGUGACAAUUGCUGCAAAGUUAAACUACUUAUGAUAAGGAGAGAAACAAAAUAAAACGAAACAAAACAAAACAGGAAGCCCUAGACAAACUGGUUAAGAGCAGCAACCACCGAGUGGCAACCAAUUUAAUGGAGGACUGUGAGUCUCCUUCUACCUGCACUGUAAAACAUUAGCCAAGAAAGAGUUUCACACCAAGGGGAAGCUAUGAUUCGAGUGUAGCACUUUGAGAAAUGUGAAAAGUGAUGUCCGUGCACUG
rnacentral:lncRNA from 1 species